rnacentral:rRNA from 1 species
AUGAUACUGAUUUUUUUUUCCUUUUUUCCGCUGAGUCCUGUCUUGGGCGCGCAUGGAUUGAUGCUGCUCCUGCAUUCGAGUGUUUGCCGACGGUGUCAAUACCUAGGAGGCGCAGAAACUAACAGGCGACUAUCGGCAUGUCAGCUGCGACGAGAACAACGUACGGCUGCUGCAGACGCGCAGAUGCAGCCCUACUUAGUUGCGACGGCAACGACGACGAAUGGCCGCAUGUCCACAAGUUCAGCGGUGCAAGGGAAACAUACGGCGCACGACGACGGCGCCGCUAAUGAUGUACGGUGGCGGAGAUCAUGGGAACCUCCCAUUGAGAUCUUCCGAUGA